rnacentral:rRNA from 1 species
GACAGAGGGUGCAAACGUUGUUCGGAAUUACUGGGCGUAAAGCGCGUGUAGGCUGCUUCGAAAGUCGGAUGUGAAAGCCCCGGGCUUAACCUGGGAAUGGCCGUCGAAACUGGCGAACUGGAGUGUGGCAGAGGGGGGUGGAAUUCCGCGUGUAGCAGUGAAAUGCGUAGAGAUGCGGAGGAACACCGAUGGCGAAGGCAGCCCCCUGGGCUGACACUGACGCUCAGGCACGAAAGCGUGGGGAGCAAACAGG